UCUUUCAUUUUAGAGAUACAUGAAGAGAAGGUUCACUUCACACUCAACAAUCAUAAUUUGGUAAUCAUUUUUCCUUUAGAGGAGUGAAUAAAACCCUCAUUUUUUUAAAGGUAGAGUGAUUGAUCAUUCAUAAACUUACUCUCUGGCUUAACUGAAAGUUCGGUCUUUGGUAACUUCGAAAGUUCCCUCAGCUGACUUUUCUUUUUCAUAUUCGUGUCUUGACCCCCUAGUUUGCAUACACUCGAUUAAGAAUAAUUGAUUUUGUAUUAGGUUGGUCGGAUUUUGUUUUGUGUUUGGAGCAAUGCUUGGUUAAGAGGGUUGCUCUUUUGUGUUGUUUUUCUGCGUGAGAGGUGAUUUAGGUGAUUUUGUGUUGGAAUUUAGGGUUUAGGGUUAUUCUUUCUUUUUAAGUUAAUUAGCAAUUUAUUAAUGUGUGUGUUAUAGAUAUA
rnacentral:lncRNA from 1 species